rnacentral:rRNA from 1 species
UACGUAGGGGGCAAGCGUUGUCCGGAAUUAUUGGGCGUAAAGAGCGCGUAGGCGGUCCGGUAAGUCGGCUGUGAAAGUCAAGGGCUCAACCCUUGAAAGCCGGCCGAUACUGUCGGACUAGAGUCCGGAAGAGGCGAGUGGAAUUCCCGGUGUAGCGGUGAAAUGCGUAGAGAUCGGGAAGAACAUCGGUGGCGAAAGCGCUCUACUGGGCCAUAGCUGACACUCAGGGACGAAAGCUAGGGGAGCGAAUGGG